AUGACCCAGCACCACGCGAUGCGAGGAGGGCUAGCACGUUCGUUCUUCGCCCCUGCCGCCAGAGCCGCCGCGCCCUGCUGUCCGUCGCCCCUGCUGCUCCGCCGCGCCUUGCCGUCCGUCCCCCCUGCUGCUGCGCGGCGUCCCCCCCUCCCCUCUCCCCUCCUGCCGCCCUCCAUUGCUGGCAAGGAAGAGCUAGACAGAACUGGGGGGCUUCAGAGCAAGGCAAACGAAGAAAGGGGCAUAAGAUCCAAGGCGAGUGAACUGGGGGGGUUAAAAUCAAUUCUCCCGAUGCGGCGAUCACAUACCUGGUAA
rnacentral:rRNA from 1 species